UCCUACGGGGCGCAGCAGUGAGGAAUAUUGGUCAAUGGCCGAGAGGCUGAACCAGCCAAGUCGCGUGAGGGAGGAAGGUACAGAGUAUCGUAAACCUCUUUUGUCAGGGAACAAAGGCGGGGACGUGUCCCCGGAUGAGUGUACCUGAAGAAAAAGCAUCGGCUAACUCCGUGCCAGCAGCCGCGGUAAUACGGAGGAUGCGAGCGUUAUCCGGAUUUAUUGGGUUUAAAGGGUGCGCAGGCGGUCUGUUAAGUCAGCGGUCAAAGCCCGGGGCUCAACCCCGGCCCGCCGUUGAAACUGGCAGG
rnacentral:rRNA from 1 species